UACAGAGGCCCCAAGCAUUAUCCGGAAUCACUGGGCGUAAAGGGUGUGUAGGCGGUUUUUUUAGUCUUCUGUGAAAGGUCUCGGGCUUAACCCAGGAACCGCAGGGGAAACGGCAUAGCUUAGAGGAUGUGAGAGGUAAAGGGAACUCAUGGUGUAGGGGUGAAAUCCGUUGAUAUCAUGGGGAACACCAAAUGCGAAGGCACUUUACUGGCACACUCCUGACGCUGAAACACGAAAGCGUGGGAAUCGAAUGGG
rnacentral:rRNA from 1 species